GACGAACGCUGGCGGCGUGCUUAACACAUGCAAGUCGAACGGAAAGGCCCUGCUUUUGUGGGGUGCUCGAGUGGCGAACGGGUGAGUAACACGUGAGUAACCUGCCCUUGACUUUGGGAUAACUUCAGGAAACUGGGGCUAAUACCGGAUAGGAGCUCCUGCUGCAUGGUGGGGGUUGGAAAGUUUCGGCGGUUGGGGAUGGUCUCGCGGCUUAUCAGCUUGUUGGUGGGGUAGUGGCUUACCAAGGCUUUGACGGGUAGCCGGCCUGAGAGGGUGACCGGCCACAUUGGGACUGAGAUACGGCCCAGACUCCUACGGGAGGCAGCGGUGGGGAUUAUUGCACAAUGGGCGGAAGCCUGAUGCAGCAACGCCGCGGGCGGGAUGACGGCCUUCGGGUUGUAAACCGCUUUCGCCUGUGACGAAGCGUGAGUGACGGUAAUGGGUAAAGAAGCACCGGCUAACUACGUG
rnacentral:rRNA from 1 species